rnacentral:rRNA from 1 species
AGAGUUUGAUUCUGGCUCAGGAUGAACGCUAGCGGCAGGCCUAACACAUGCAAGUCGCGGGGCAGCACGGGUAGCAAUACCUGGUGGCGACCGGCGCACGGGUGCGUAACGCGUAUGCAACCUGCCCCCAUCAGGGGGAAUAGCCCGCCGAAAGGCGGAUUAAUGCCCCAUAGACCCAGGGCGCUGCAUGGCGCUAUGGGUAAAGCUCCUGCGGAUGGGGAUGGGCAUGCGUGCCAUUAGCUAGUUGGGGCGGUAACGGCGCACCAAGGCGACGAUGGCUAGGGGGGUCUGAGAGGAUGGUCCCCCACACUGGUACUGAGACACGGACCAGACUCCUACGGGAGGCAGCAGUGAGGAAUAUUGGUCAAUGGGCGGAAGCCUGAACCAAGCCAUGCCGCGUGCAGGAUGACGGCCCUACGGGUUGUAAACUGCUUUUCCCCGGGAAGAAUAAGCCCCUCGUGAGGGGUGAUGCCGGUACCGGGGGAAUAAGGAUCGGCUAACUCCGUGCCAGCCGCCGC